UAAUGGCUGUUUUUGAUUAUUUAAUUUUCAAUAAAUUUUUAUUUAUUGUUACUUUUGUGAGUUUCAAGUGAUUUCAGUGAGAAUUGUGGGUUUUUCCUUCUUUAACUGAGGGGUACCAACAAUUUUGUCCACGUGUGUAGGUGCCCUCCACAGCUGCGAGUGUGACUUCUUUUGGAGUGACACUCGGUAGUGUAGGGGGAGUGUGUAAGGGGCGGUUUGGGAUUCAGCCCGGGCCUGAUCAGGAGCCAAAACUAGAAGCACCUGGACACAAACAGAAGUCUGAGGAGUCACAAGCAGAAGGAGAUUUCCAGAAUCACCAGAAGAAGCUUCUGGAAACUGUGUGUCUCUGAUCACCUGCAGCGUCGAUGCAAAGAGAAGAAGAAGCUCUGCAGCCUGACGGGUGGGGCCUGGCUAGUUCCUGGAUGGGAGAAGCUGGGAAUAGCAGAUAGAUGCUGGAAGCUUUUAUCUGUCCAACCUGCAGAGGGCGCUGCUGCUGCUGGACUGGAAACAGCCUGAAGAACCAGAGAAGGAAUUAUUCUGAAGAUAUGGAGAGAAAACACACAAGUAAACAGUGGAGCAGCUACAAUCAGUGAUUUUAGACACUGUUGGCUGAUUUCAUCUGGAAGAUAUCAGAUAAAUGGAGGAAAAUGUUCAAUAUUUCACAUUAAAACAGCAUGAAAGUGAAUUAGUGAGGCAGGUUCUCAGCUGUAAGGACAUUAAAUGCUCCUUAAAAACAGAAUUUACAAAGUGAUGUUGUGGGUCUAGAGGCUCAAAGUGUGACAUUUACCAAACUGUGUGUAAUUAUGAGAGUCAAAUAUACGAAUGAAGCAAUGAAAUGGGAAAAUUAUUUGAAAUUCUUCAAAGUUUCAAUGGAUUAAUUCAAUCUAAAAGACAUUUUAAUGAAUGUGGAAAAACAACAGGAAGUUGUUUAAAGCAAAGACACAGAAAAAACAGGAAGUGAUCAAAUCCAAGAAGAGACUAAAGGAGAGCAGAACACUAAAGUAUUGAGCUUCCACAUUGAAAUGAGGAGUGGAUUAAAGUCCACAGCAGCAGACAAAGAAGAAGAUGAAGCCACAGAAGGUUUGGAUUCCUCAGGUGACAUGUAGAGUGUAGAUUCCCUCUCUGACUGUAGUUCCUGUAAAACAGCUUCUCAGGACAUUUAGUGUUGAAAUGGAGUCAUCACUUCUGGGAUUGAUUCUUCUUUAUUCUUCCUAAAAGCUUCAUAUUUAUAGAAUUAGAAAGAAAUGGAAAAUGUUCCCAAACACACAUUUUCACCACAGACUGAUCCAUCAGGUUUCCUGCUUCGUUUCCCUGACAACAGUGACGUUACGGCCGUUCCUGUUCCUCAAAAUAGUUCUGCUUUUACCGUCUUCAUGUUGCAGCUUCUUUUCUCCGUCUGAAGGAGAGUUUGAUGGCCUUCUGCUGGGUGACAGGGGUUACCAUGCCAACCCAGGCUGAUGACCUCAUACCCUGACCCUGAACCAGGCCCCCAACAGAACUUCUACCGGACUC